rnacentral:rRNA from 1 species
UACAGAGGGUGCGAGCGUUAAUCGGAAUUACUGGGCGUAAAGCGCACGUAGGUGGCGACGUAAGUCGGGUGUGAAAGCCCCGGGCUCAACCUGGGAAUUGCAUUCGAGACUGCAUUGCUGGAGUACGGAAGAGGAGGGCGGAAUUCCCGGUGUAGCGGUGAAAUGCGUAGAUAUCGGGAGGAACAUCAGUGGCGAAGGCGGCUUCCUGGCCUGUUCUUGACGCUGAGGCGCGAAAGCUAGGGGAGCAAACGGG